rnacentral:rRNA from 1 species
UACGUAGGGUGCAAGCGUUGUCCGGAAUUAUUGGGCGUAAAGGGCUCGUAGGCGGUCCAUCGCGUCGGGAGUGAAAAGCUGGGGCUUAACCCCAGUCCUGCUUCCGAUACGGUGGACUAGAGGUAGGUAGGGGAGAUCGGAAUUCCUGGUGUAGCGGUGAAAUGCGCAGAUAUCAGGAGGAACACCAAUUGCGAAGGCAGCUCGCUGGGACGUUACUGACGCUGAGACGCGAAAGCGUGGGGAGCAAACAGG